rnacentral:rRNA from 1 species
CCUACGGGGGACAGCAGUGGGGAAUAUUGGGCAAUGGGCGCAAGCCUGACCCAGCAACGCCGCGUGAAGGAAGAAGGCUUUCGGGUUGUAAACUUCUUUUCUGAGGGACGAAGAAAGUGACGGUACCGCAGGAAUAAGCCACGGCUAACUACGUGCCAGCAGCCGCGGUAAUACGUAGGUGGCAAGCGUUAUCCGGAUUUAUUGGGUGUAAAGGGCGUGUAGGCGGGAAAGCAAGUCAGAUGUGAAAACUCAGGGCUCAACCCUGAGCCUGCAUUUGAAACGGUUUUUCUUGAGUGCUGGGGAGGCAAUCGGAAUUCCGUGUGUAGCGGUGAAAUGCGUAGAUAUCCGGAGGAACACCAGUGGCGAAGGCGGAUUGCUGGACAGUAACUGACGCUGAGGCGCGAAAGCGUGGGGAGCAAACAGGAUUAGAUACCCUUGUAGUC